GACGAACGCUGGCGGCGUGCCUAAUACAUGCAAGUAGAACCGUUGCGCACGGGUGAGUAACGCGUAGGUAACUGCCUCAUAGCGGGGGGUAACUUUUGGACACGCUAGCUAAUACCGCAUACUGUGAGAUGGACGUGCGUUGUAUUAGCUAGUUGGUGAGGUAAACGCUAACCAAGGCGACGAUACAUAGCCGACCUGAGAGGGUGAGCGUCCAAACUGGGACGGAGACACGGCCCAGACUCCCACGGGAGGCAGCAGGAGGGAAUCUUCGGCAAAUGACGGAAGUCUGACCGAGCAACGCCGCGGGAGUGAAGAAGGUUUUCGGAUUGUAAAGCUCUGUUUUUAGAGAAGCGUUAACUAACCAGAAAGGGACGGCUAACUCCGUGCCAGCAGCCGCGGUAAUAC
rnacentral:rRNA from 1 species